GUUUGUGUGUGUGUGUGUUUGUGUGUGAGUGUGUAUGUGUGUGUGUGUGUACGUAUUUGUGUGUGUUAGUAAAGCGCACUUUGUUUUUAAUGUAGCGUCAGAAGGAGAGAAAAAAAAUGACGAUUCUGUUGAAAUAUUUGUUGAGUUGCGUUCUUUUAUUUUCCCUUCCGUUAUUUUAGUUAAGGAAUAUAAAACAAUAACAACCGCAUCAUUAUCUUUAGCAAUUGAAAAAUGUGUAGGAUUGGCGUUUGAAGCUUAAUGCCACUUGCAGCUCGUUCAUUAUCCAAAGCAUUCAGAAACACUAAUUGUAAAA